GUCAAGCUCGCUGACUUCAAGAAUGAAGCUGCGGGCCUCACAGUGAGUGUUACAGCUCUUUUCAGGAAUGAAGCCGCAGACACUCGCAGUUUGAGGAUACAUGUGAAAUUCCUGUCAUGGGAUUUUGUUGUACAGAUUAUUUCAUCACUCAGAUGUAAGGAUGACUUAUCAAGAAACUUUCACACAGCACAGGUAUGCACAACAGAGUUGAAGAGCUUGAAAUGCAGAGAGUACAUCUUGGAUCUGAGAGUACCCUUGAGCUCCGUGUUCAGCAAGAAAGCAGUGAGCGCCAUGGGCUCUGUGGUACUGGCAUCAGGUUACUCACCUGUCUUGGAGCUUAUCAACGAUCUACUUUACAUCUCAUAUUUG
rnacentral:lncRNA from 1 species